CCUACGGGUGGCAGCAGUGAGGAAUAUUGGUCAAUGGACGAGAGUCUGAACCAGCCAAGUCGCGUGAAGGAUGACUGCCCUAUGGGUUGUAAACUUCUUUUAUAUGGGAAUAAAAUGUUCCACGUGUGGCUUUUUGUAUGUACCAUAUGAAUAAGGAUCGGCUAACUACGUGCCAGCAGCCGCGGUAAUACGGAGGAUCCGAGCGUUAUCCGGAUUUAUUGGGUUUAAAGGGAGCGUAGGUGGAUUGUUAAGUCAGUUGUGAAAGUUUGCGGCUCAACCCUAAAAUUGCAGUUGAAACUGGAUGUCUGGAGAAAAGUAGGGGUGGGCGGAAUUCGUGGUGUAGCGGUGAAAUGCUUAGAUAUCACGAAGAACCCCGAUUGCGAAGGCAGCUCACUGGACUGCAACUGACACUGAGGCUCGAAAGUGUGGGAAUCAAACAGGAUUAGAUACCCGAGUAGUC
rnacentral:rRNA from 1 species